rnacentral:lncRNA from 1 species
ACGGACUACGAAUUAGAGGACAAAAUGGUCCGAAAGUGGGAAAAAUUUGCGGCGGUGGCUAGAAAUUGAUGGAAACGGUGGAGAAAAACACAUGAACUGGACUCUAACAAGACCUAACCAGCAACAAGACCUCGACCAGGACACAAACUCAACACUGCGGACUCUGAAACUGAAAUAUGCAGAGGCUAUGGCGCGGAAGGGUUGUAGGACAGGAAAACGAUGUGGCACUGGACUUAUGGGACGAACACAAGAACACCCGAAACUAAGGGUAGAUAUGAACCUAACGGUAUACCUCAAGCUUUGAUUACCACUUGAUGAGAACAAGGGUUGUCCGAUCUUCCAAAAGGUUCUGGUAACUCUCGAUUUUGUGGAGACGAGGCACAAAUCGAUCCGGCUUCCGAACAACACGAUCUGAAACCAUGCAAGUUUUUUUUUUAUUUUUUUGAUAUUUUUCUUUUAUUUAGGAGCACUAAAGAAGUAACCACAGAAAUUUGAGCUUAAACAAGUGAAAGACGUGGCCUGCGGAAUUCUCUGAAGAUUGCGAAAAAUGUGAAAAAAACUUUACGAGGUGAAAACUCAAACUUCGGUGGUGAAUUUGGAGAUUAUAAAAUUUUCAAACCCCCCAAAGGCGGGGACAGACAGAUCCAAAAAAAUUUUCUCAUCGAUUUUGAUAAAUGGAACGUUGUAAUCGGAGUUCAUAUUCGAAAGUUAUGGCUGUUUUACGAACGGACUCCGUAUUAGAGGACAAAACGGUCCGAAAGUGGGAAAAAAUUGCAGCGGUGGCUAGAAAUUGAUGGAAACGGUGCGGAAAAACACAUAAACGGGACUCUAACAAGACCUAACCAGCAACAAGACCUCGACCAGGACACAAACUCAACACUGCGAACUCUGAAACUGAAAUAUGCAAAGGCUAUGGCGCGGAAGGGUUGUAGGACACGAAAACGAUAUGGCACUGGACUUAUGGGACGAACACAAGAACACCCAAAACUAAGGGUAGAUGUGAACAUAACGGUAUACCUCAAGCUUUGAUUACCACUUGAUGAGAACAAGGGUGGUCCGAUCUUCCGAAAGGUUCUGGUAACUCUCGAUUUGGUGGAGACGAGGCACAAAUCGAUCCGGCUUCCGAACAACAUGAUCUGAAACCAUGCAAGUUUUUUUUAUUUUUUUUUUGAUAUUUUUAUUUUACUUAGGAGCACUAAAUAAGUAACCACAGAAAAUUUGAGCUUAAACAAGUGAAAGACGUGGCCUGCGGAAUUCUCUGAAGAUUGCAAAAAAUGUGAAAAAAACUUCACGAGGUGAAAACUCAAACUUCUGUGGUGAAUUUGGAGAUUAUAAAAUUGUCAAGCAACCCAAAGGCAGGGACAGACAGAUCCAAAAAAAUUUUCUCAUCGAUUUUGAUAUAUGGAACGUUGUAAUCGGAGUUCAUAUGCGAAUGUUAUGGCUGUUUUACGAACGGACUCCGAAUUAUAGGACAAAACGGUCUGAAAGUGGAAAAAAUUUGCGGCGGUGGCUAGAAAUUGAUGGAAACAGUGGGGAAAAACACAUGAACUAGACUCUAACAAGACCUAACCAGCAACAAGACCUCGACCAGGACACAAACUCAACACUGCGGACUGUGAAACUGAAAUAUGCAAAGGCUAUAGUGUGGAAGGUUUAUAGGACAGGAAAACGAUAUGGCACUGGACUUAUGGGACGAACACAAGAGCACUCGAAACUAAGUCUAGAUGUGAACCUAACGGUAUACCUGAAGCUUUGAUUACCACUUGAUGAGAACAAGGGUGGCCCGAUCUUCUGAAAGGAUCUGGUAACUCUCGAUUUGGUGGAGACGAGACACAAAUCGAUCCGGCUUCCGAACAACACGAUCUGAAACCCUGCAAUUUUUUUUUAUUUUUUUUGAUAUUUUUCAUUUACUUAGGAGCACUAAACAAGUAACCAUAGAAAAUUUGAGCUUUAACAAGUGAAAGACGUGGCCUGAGGAAUUUUCGGAAAAUUGCGAAAAAUGUGAAAAAAACUUCACAAGGUGAAAACUCAAACAUUGGAGGGGAAUUUGGAGACUCUAAAAUUUUCAAACCCACCAAAUGCAGGGACAUACAGAUCAAAAAAAAAAUUUUGAUCGAUUUUGAUAUAUGGAACGUUGAAAUCAGAGUUCGUAUGCGAAAGUUAUGGCUGUUUUACGAACGGACUCCGAAUUAGAGGACAAAACGGUUCGAAAGUGGAAAAAUUUUGUGGCGGUGACUAGAAAUUGUUGGAAACGGUGGGGAAAAACACAUGAACUGGACUCUAACAAGACCUAACUAGCAACACGACCUCGACCAGGACACAAACUCAACACUGCGGACUCUAAAACUGAAAUAUGCAAAUGCUAUGGCGCGGAAGGGUUGUGGGACACGAAAACAACAUGGCACUGGACUUUUUUUAUGGGACGAACACAAGAACACUCAAAACUAAGGGUAGAUGUGAACAUAACGGUAUACCUGAAGCUUUGAUUACCACUUGAUGAUUACAAGGGUGGCCCGGUCUUCCGAAAAGUUCUGGUAACUCUCGAUUUGGUGGAGAUGAGGCACAAAUCGAUUCGGCUUCCGAACAACACGAUCUGAAACCCUACAAGUUUUUUUUAUUUUUUUGAUAUAUUUAUUUUACUUAGGAGCACUAAAGAAGUAACCAUAGAAAAUUUGAGCUUAAACAAGUGAAAGACGUGGCCUGCGGAAUUCUCUGAAGAUUGUGAAAAAUGUGAAAAAAACUUCACAAGGUGAAAACUCAAACAUCAGAGGCGAAUUUGGAGAUUAUAAACUUUUCAAACCCACUGUUGGUGGGUACAGAUAGAUCCAAAAAAAUUUUAUGAUCGAUUUUGAUAUAUGGAACGUUGAAAUCGGAGUUCAUAUGCGAAAGUUAUGGCUGUUUUACGAACGGACUACGAAUUAGAGGACAAAACGGUCCGAAAGUGGGAAAAAUUUGCGGCGGUGGCUAGAAAUUGAUGGAAACGGUGGAGAAAAACACAUGAACUGGACUCUAACAAGACCUAACCAGCAACAAGACCUCGACCAGGACACAAACUCAACACUGCGGACUCUGAAACUGAAAUAUGCAGAGGCUAUGGCGCGGAAGGGUUGUAGGACAGGAAAACGAUGUGGCACUGGACUUAUGGGACGAACACAAGAACACCCGAAACUAAGGGUAGAUAUGAACCUAACGGUAUACCUCAAGCUUUGAUUACCACUUGAUGAGAACAAGGGUGGUCAGAUCUUCCAAAAUGUUCUGGUAACUCUCGAUUUGGUGGAGACGAGGCACAAAUCGAUCCGGCUUCCGAACAACACGAUCUGAAACCAUGCAAGUUUUUUUUUAUUUUUUUGAUAUUUUUCUUUUAUUUAGGAGCACUAAAGAAGUAACCACAGAAAUUUGAGCUUAAACAAGUGAUAGACGUGGCCUGCGGAAUUCUCUGAAGAUUGCGAAAAAUGUGAAAAAAACUUCACGAGGUGAAAACUCAAACUUCGGUGGUGAAUUUGGAGAUUAUAAAAUUGUCAAACCCCCCAAAGGCGGGGACAGACAGAUCCAAAAAAAUUUUCUCAUCGAUUUUGAUAAAUGGAACGUUGUAAUCGGAGUUCAUAUUCGAAAGUUAUGUUGUUUUACGAACGGACUCCGAAUUAGAGGACAAAACGGUCCGAAAGUGGGAAAAAUUUGCAGCGGUGGCUAGAAAUUGAUGGAAACGGUGCGGAAAAACACAUAAACGGGACUCUAACAAGACCUAACCAGCAACAAGACCUCGACCAGGACACAAACUCAACACUGCGAACUCUGAAACUGAAAUAUGCAAAGGCUAUGGCGCGGAAGGGUUGUAGGACACGAAAACGAUAUGGCACUGGACUUAUGGGACGAACACAAGAACACCCAAAACUAAGGGUAGAUGUGAACAUAACGGUAUACCUCAAGCUUUGAUUACCACUUGAUGAGAACAAGGGUGGUCGGAUCUUCCGAAAGGUUCUGGUAACUCUCGAUUUGGUGGAGACGAGGCACAAAUCGAUCCGGCUUCCGAACAACAUGAUCUGAAACCAUGCAAGUUUUUUUUAUUUUUUUUGAUAUUUUUCUUUUACUUAGGAGCACUAAAUAAGUAACCACAGAAAAUUUGAGCUUAAACAAGUGAAAGACGUGGCCUGCGGAAUUCUCUGAAGAUUGCAAAAAAUGUGAAAAAAACUUCACGAGGUGAAAACUCAAACUUCUGUGGUGAAUUUGGAGAUUAUAAAAUUGUCAAACAACCCAAAGGCAGGGACAGACAGAUCCAAAAAAAUUUUCUGAUCGAUUUUGAUAUAUGGAACGUUGUAAUCGGAGUUCAUAUGCGAAUGUUAUGGCUGUUUUACGAACGGACUCCGAAUUAGAGGACAAAACGGUCUGAAAGUGGAAAAAAUUUGCGGCGGUGGCUAGAAAUUGAUGGAAACAGUGGGGAAAAACACAUGAACUAGACUCUAACAAGACCUAACCAGCAACAAGACCUCGACCAGGACACAAACUAAACACUGCGGACUCUAAAACUGAAAUAUGCAGAGGCUAUGGCGCGGAAGGGUUGUAGGACAGGAAAACGAUAUGGCACUGGACUUAUGGGACGAACACAAGAACUUCCGAACGUAAGGAUAGAUGUGAACCUAAUGGUGUACCUCAAGCUUUGAUUACCACUUGAUGAGAACAAGGGUGGUCCGAUCUUCCGAAAGGUUCUGGUAACUCUCGAUUUGCUGGAGACGAGGCACAAAUCGAUCCGGCUUCCGAACAACACGAUCUGAAACCAUGCAAGUUUUUUUUAUUUUUUUAAUAUUUUUGUUUGACUUAGGAGCACUAAAGAAGUAACCCCAGAAAAUUUGAGCUUAAACAAGUGAAAGACGUGGCCUGCGGAAUUCUCUGAAGAUUGCGAAAAAUGUGAAAAAACUUCACGAGGUGAAAACUCAAACAUCAGAGGUGAAUUUGGAGAUUAUAAAAUUGUCAAACCCGGCAAAGGCGGUGACAGACAGAUCCAAACUUUUUUUAUGAUCGAUUUUGAUAUAUGGAACGUUGAAAUCGGAGUUCAUAUGCGAAAGUUAUGGCUGUUUUACGAACGCACUCCGAAUUAAAGGACAAAACGGUCCGAAAGUGGGAAAAAUUUACGGCGGUGGCUAGAAUUUGAUGAAAACGGUGGGGAAAAACACAUGAACUGGACUCUAACGAGUCCUAACCAGCAACAAGACCUCGACCAGGACACAAACUCCACACUGCGGACUCUAAAACUGAAAUAUGCAAAGGCUAUGGCGCGGAAGGGUUGUAGGACAGGAAAACGAUAUGGCACUGGACUUAUAGGACGAACACAAGAACACUAGAAACUAAGGGUAGAUGUGAACCUAACGGUAUACCUCAAGCUUUGAUUACCACUUGAUGAGAACAAGGGUGGUCCGAUCUUCCGAAAGGUUCUGGUAACUCUCGAUUUGGUGGAGACGAGGCACAAAUCGAUCCGGCUUCCGAACAACACGAUCUGAAACCAUAUAAGUUUUUUUAUUUUUUUGAUAUUUUUCUUUUACUUAGGAGCACUAAAGAAGUAACCAUAGAAAAUUUGAGCUUAAACAAGUGAAAGACGUGGCCAGCGGAAUUCUCUGAAGAUUGCG